AUGUGGCAGCUCGUCGUCGCCGCAUUCCGUGGCCGCUCCCGCAAGCUGCGGAAAUCCCGUCGACGCGGCUGCAUCUUUCCGCGCCCGUCGGGCGUGCUGGUUGCGACGCGUUGCGCUUUCUACAGGAGGCCCAUGCUACUGCUGCUACUGCUGCUGCUGCUGCUGAUUCUUCGCCGUGCUAGGGGCGGGGGCUGUGUCGCGGAGGCACGUCCAGUACAUUAUUUGCGUGCCUUGGAAGACGGCCGAGGAGAUGUCGUCAAGGCCCUUCUCCUUGACGGCUUGAGGCACAGAGCAGAGGAAGACGAGGAGGACAAUGGCGCGGUGCCCAUGGCCUUCGUCAUAUGCGACGACGAAUCACCCCUUAGACACAAGCAUUUUCUAGUGUAUGGGCCUGUUGCACAUAGCCGGAGGCGGCAGACCCGGACGCUGCAUGCUCACGAUGGAGUGCUCCCGCGGUGCCUUCUUUCGUUCGCAAGGAGAUUCAGAUUGUUAGUGCUCCCGAUGAUCAGUUGCUGCAGAGCUGAGUUGCACAUGGUGUUAACCCUUCAGCAAAAGAAUACUUACCCGAAAUCAGAUGGGAAGGUUGAUGAACAGAAUACUUACCCGAAAUCAGAUGGGAAGGUUGAUGAACAUAUGUGCUAUCACCAUCGGUCUGUUCAACCUUAUAGCUGGACUACUUGGGUAAAUUUUGUCAACAUCGUCGGCUACGGGUAUAAUCCCUUGGUUAUAGUAGUUAACAUCUGUCGCCUCCAUCGGGCCUGCAACACAUUCAGUUUCCUGGGAUGGUGUUUGACAUGUAUAGCACGAUUUAUAGUUGGACAUAUACCUGGAGCGAGAUCAAGUGAAAUUACAACAGUUCUAAAGGCCGUCGAAGAUCGCAAGGGCAGCUUGCUAUUAUUAUUGAGUUUUGUUUGUUUGAUCACGUACAACAUACCUGGGGUUGAAACCGCCCUGUGUCCGCGGCGGCGCCGACGUGACCUCUUACGUCCGCGGCGGCGAUCCAGAACCGUGGCGUGCAGGCGAGAUCCCGUGGGUUCUUCCCAUGGGGGGACCCAGGGUGAACCCAUUGGCCGAGUCACGGACUACGAGGCCAUACAGGCCGCACGUACCAUGCAGAUCGACGUAAACCCUUCCCCGGUACGUCAAUUGCGGGAGGAUGGAGCAGCCUUGGAGAGGGAGAGUUCAGAGGCACAACUAGGCAAAUAUGUGGGCACCUACAAGAAGAAGGGGAGAGGACAGGAAAGGGCACUGUCUGCACGCAACUAUGAGAACAUAUCUGGCCUUAAGAGGGCAGCUGAGACUCUUGAAGGUGAUGGAGACGAGGCUACAAAGAGAAUGAAGCAGAAGGAAGGGCACGCCAAUGGAGGUGGGGAGAUAGUUUCUGAGCUCAUUGACCCAGCAACUAACCGGUGGGAUCACCAGCUAGUGUCACAAACCUUCUCGCCGGCAGAUGCACUUACGGUCUUGGCCAUUCCCAUCUGCGACCAAUAUGAGGAUUUUGUGGCUUGGCACUUUGAUAAGAGAGGCCUUUUUUCUGUACGGUCGGCCUACCGGGUGUAUAAUGAUCUGAAGUUGCGGCUAAGCACUAGGCAAAGGGGUGAGAGCAUUGCUGGAAGCCAGCAAAGGGCGUGGUUUUGGAAUAAGCUCUGGCGAAUCCGGUGCCCUGCGCGUGUGCAUCAUUUCCUGUGGCGACUGGCCCAUAAUAGCCACCCUCUACUCCGAAAUGUUGAACGUGUUGGGGUCGAGCUUAAUACAUCCUGCAUUCUGUGUGGCCGACAGGCGGAGGGCGGAGGGCACCUAUUCCUACGGUGCAAGGAAGUGAAGAAGGCGUGGAGGGAAUGUGGACUUGAUCAUAUCAGAACGGAACCCCUACUUAUGCAAUCUCCCAAAGCCAUGCUGGAGUUCAUCUUUAAACUCCCAGAUGCUACGGGCCUCAAAGCGGCUAGUCUCCUGUGGUCAUGGUGGUCCGAGAGGAAUAAAGCUAAUCAUCAUAAACAGAGAUUAACGCCUGAAGCACUCGGAGCAAAAGUGUGUCAUGAUGUGGUUGAAUGGACAGAAUUUCUCGGGAAAAAGAGGUCAGCGAGCCGGGGUGCCCUUUCUAGAGAUUCAGAAGGAGAGAUGGUGCUAGCUGCGGCAGGAGGGCUACAGAAUGUGCAGGAUGCCAUGCACGCGGAAGCAUCUGCACUGCUCAAGGCCAUCGAGGUAGCUGAUCAUGUCGGGAUGGGGAGGGUGAUUUUCCAGACAGACUGCCUCCCUUUGCAGCAAGCAACUACCUCUUCGAUGUUAGAUCGCAACCCCCUGGGUGUCCUUUUUAGAGAAGCCAAGUUCCAGAUGCAACAUGAGUUUAUCGAUGCCACUAUAGUUUUUCAGCCGAGAGAUUGUAACAAACCAGCGCAUGUGCUGGCAGCCUCUGUCAAUCGGAAUCUCCCAAAUGGCCAGUCUGUUUGGCUCUCGGAGUUCCCCGUCGAUGUAGUCCGAGCUGUGGCCGCCGAUUUGGUCUUCUCCGGCCACCUGGGGAACCUGGAGCUCGCCGCCGCCUCGCUCGGCAACACCGGCGUCCAGACUUCCGCCUACAGCCUCAUGAGAUCUAUGGCACAUGGCAGGCCUACUUGGCACAAGUCAGUCAUUCAUUCAUGGCGACUUGGCACUGCCCCCAUGGCCCCGUCCUGCCAUAUCUGCACCGUGCACGUGGCGGGGGUGAACAUGGUCGAAUGCGACGGGCGUGCCUCUCCAUCCAUCCAUCUCGUUGGUCACAGGGCAACCUGCUCUAGCAUUGGCUUGGGCAUGGGAGAGAUAUGUCGAUCCGGAUAUGCAAGAAUCCCCGGUCGAUUGAAAGGAGGGUUAGAUUGGAUGGUUUGGUUUCUAGCGGUCACUCCCUAG
rnacentral:rRNA from 1 species